GUAGAUGUAGUUUAAGAUAAAAACAUUAGAUUGUGAUUCUAAAGACAGAGGUUAAAAUCCCCUUAUCCACC
rnacentral:tRNA from 1 species